CAAAUUUCAUCUUAGUAAGCGAAUUGUUGAUGAACAAUCAACACACCCGUUCUUAACUCUUGGAUUGUUCUUGAUUUCCCUUUCAUCUCCCUUAGGGAUUAUUUAAAAAACGACUCUUUCCUAGGAAUUUAUUGAUUUACUUUACGACCAUGCCUCGCUGCCGCGGGUUAUCUAUCAUCGCCUUUUCAAGGGGUUCAUUGUUUGGAUUCAUUCCUCUGAUUAGAAAUGUAUCACCUCUAUCUUUAUUGAGCAUACCCACAUCAUUUGAGCAGUCCUCACAUGGAAGUUGGGAGCAUCAAGCAAGUAGUUGUAUAGUGAAGUCUCUCAACGAAUCAAUGUCUAGAGACUGUCCGCCUGGGUUCUCUUUUACUCGGAGAUACAGUAUGCGGGAGAGCAGUGGUGGGUUUAAAAGAUGGCAAUCUGUUAGGCAUUUUAGCAAUGCCGUUGUGGAGCUUAAAACAGACAACAAUACUGUCAGGUUUUCUUUUGGUUGUCCUUCUAGUACUAACGGUUCCCGACUGAAACAAAAGGUGGCAAAAACCAAAAUGUCUAAGAAGGCUAAAUUGAAUGAACUCAGAUUCUAUCGUCUUAAGGCGAAAAAGAAGAAGACAUCUCCCAAUCCAGAAGUUAGGAUCAGAUAUUCCCUUGAGAAGGCCAAAAGAAAAGAAGCGUGGCUAAUUGAGAAGUUGAGGAAAUUUGAGAUUCCAAAACCUUUUGUAGAAAAGUAUGAUCCUGAAAUUCUUACUGAGGAAGAGAAGCACUACUUGAAGCGUACAGGGGAGAAAAAGAAGAACUUUGUUCUUUUGGGGAGGCGAGGAGUCUUUGGUGGAGUUGUUCUCAAUAUGCAUAUGCAUUGGAAGAAGCAUGAAACUGUUAAAGUUAUUUGCAAACCUUGCAAGCCUGGGCAGGUUCAUGAAUAUGCCGAAGAACUUACUCGAUUGAGCAAAGGCAUUGUGAUUGACAUAAAACCCAACAACAGCAUAAUUUUCUAUCGGGGAAAGAACUAUGUGCAGCCCGAAGUAAUGUCACCUCCAAAUACGCUAUCAAAAGACAAGGCUUUGGAAAAAUAUAAGUAUGAACAAUCACUUGAACAUACAAGCCAGUUCAUUGAAAAGUUGGAGAAAGAACUUGAAGAUUUUCAGAAGCAUCUAGCUCAGUUCAAGAGGAGAAAGGAAGAUGCCGCUUUAGAAUCCAUGGUUAACUCUUGACCGAUUAGGAUCAUGCCACCAAUUGCCUUCUGAGAUAGUCUAUUUUAGAGCUGUAGAGCAACAGUUUUCCUCAAUAAAUGGUGAUGGGCAAGCAGAUGAUGCACCUGGAUCCUUGUACAGAAGUGUGAAUGGCGAAGACUUAAAGAAUCAUAGAAAGGUAGAGACACAUAUGGGUGAGGUCAUCUGCUCAAGACACGGCGAGCCAUAUCCUAAUGGCCGGAGCAGUUACAUAUAUCGGAAACUAUUUGGCCAAUGGUUGCAAAGAAGCUAGUCUCCUUCAAUAGUUUAUGGGAGAAAGUGAGCCAAUUAUACAAAGUCGAAUUUGCAGACAUAGGGGAACGAACACAACAUAUCACAAUUUAUUGUUUUUGUGAUGUCUCAAUUUUAUGAAAAUUUCUAUGGAUAGUAUUAUAAAACAAAAAAUUCAAAACAUAUUUAGACUAUAAAUACUCAACCUAUAUGCUUUUUAAGAAAGUUACUAGUUCGUUUGUAUGUUACAAUUUCUUUUAAGAUAUAAUGGAAGCAUUGAUAUGUCCAUGAAAUUUUAAGGAGUAA